rnacentral:snRNA from 1 species
GGAUGUGAGGGCGAUCUGGCUGCGACAUCUGUCACCCCAUUGAUCGCCAGGGUUGAUUCGGCUGAUCUGGCUGGCUAGGCGGGUGUCCCCUUCCUCCCUCACCUCUCCAUGUGCGUCCCUCCCGAAGCUGCGUGCUCAGUCGAAGAGGACGACCUUCCCCGAAUAGAGGAGGAUCGGUCUUCGGUCAAGGGUAUACGAGUAGCUGCGCUCCCCUGCUAGAACCUCCAAACAAGCUCUCAAGAAACACAAAAGGGGCUGGAGAGAAGGUGCAGCAGCUAAAAAAGGCACUUGCUACAAAGCCUUACAACCUGGGUUCAAUUU